UACGUAGGUGGCAAGCGUUGUCCGGAUUUACUGGGCGUAAAGGGCGCGUAGGCGGCCUGGUAAGCGUGCGGUGAAAGCCCGGGGCUCAACCCCGGGUCGGCCGUGCGAACUGCUGGGCUCGAGCACUGUAGAGGCAGGUGGAAUUCCGGGUGUAGCGGUGGAAUGCGUAGAGAUCCGGAAGAACACCGGUGGCGAGGGCGGCCUGCUGGGCAGUGACUCGCAAGAGUCAAUAGCUGACGCUGAGGCGCGACAGCGUGGGGAGCAAACAGG
rnacentral:rRNA from 1 species